UGAUUCCUGCCCACCUUUAUGGGCAGCCUCAGAAAGUAUGUAGACAAAGUCGACACAAAAGGGAUCUGGUGGUGUACAGGUGAUAUAUGGCUGCACCAAAGAAUUACCACACAGAGAAUCAUGCGACAUCUAUAAUCACUGGAAUACCGGGAGUUGGGUUCCUACGAAUUGUUUUGAUGUCACUGGACAAUGACUGCUAUCAGAUGACUGGCUAAGCAUUUCCUGUGGAUGAAGACAGCAGUGUAGGCAGCAUAGAUCAACACCAAGCAUCUCUGUGGGCGACAGACAUCACUCCAAGGAGAAACUAAGGUGGUAAGAUUCCAUUACCAAAGCUCAUUCAGUAUUCGCACUGUCUCAUAAACCCCAAGUACUUUGAUAAGAGUCGUAGCGUAUCUAGAAUGUGGCAUAGUACACUACUUGGAUAUUAUUCUCCUUCCUUCAAGGACUUGACACAUAUGCAGAUGACCCCUUGGAGGUGCCUAUAUUGGAUCCCGGAUGUAUCUAUCCAACUACUAAGAGUUUUAAUGUGAAACGGAAGUCUUCCUGUGUCAGCCUCACAAACAGCAACUCCCAGAAAUGAGGAGUGUAAACGCACUGGGUAUCUGGAAGAGUAGAUGAAAUCUACCUCUCCCAUGGACAACAAGAAAGGAGCCACCAUCUAUUAUAAUGUCUUUUAUGUACACACAACUUAAGAGCAGGCAUCCAUAUCUGAGGGACAACUGAAACAGCUAAUUCUCAAGGUAUAGUGGAUUAUAGCUACCAUAGACACUCGUUUUGUUUGUCUUUGGAACUGUGUAUGUGUUGACCUAGGAAUGAGGCAGAGUGGGUGCAAUAGAUACGAAGUCUGAGACACUCUCCUCUCCCUCCACAGCAGACAUCAGAGUGUGUAGGUAUAACUAAUGCUAUAAUCCAGAGAAGAGUGACACCGAUCAGUUGACUUGUGAGCUCAGCACAUUUGAGAUUCAGUCACGGAAUACAUUCUGAUGUGGAAAGGGGCUUUGAACAGGAAAGAGCCUUUUACAGGCUAGCCAUGCUUCUAUGCCUCUAAGACCCUAAGUAGAGGAAGAGAACUGACUUUGAAAUACAGGGUGUCAAGUUGAGUGCCAUCUGCAAAUCACAGCUCCUAUACUCUUGCCUCCUGACUCCCUAUCGGAAAGAUGUCUGCAUGCAAAACAAGUAGAGAAUGAGCAAUUGCAGAGUUUCCCAAGCUGUAGAGGCCAACAGUUUGCAGGAUUCCAAGCCCUUUUGUUCUGCCCCUUUGUGCCUUUCCCUGAAAGAGAUAUGAAAGGACAGAGAGGCACGAGUCUUCACUCUUCCUAUGAGCAGCUAUAGUAAGGGUGACUUUCUGCAUUUAACUCUUGCUAAAUCUACAAGGUGCAUAAAAGAUAAAAUGAGAAAGAAAAGGGAACAAUGUUUCUUAGAUUCCUGUUGAGUGUCCCAGAACUUUGGAGGUAAUCAACCAAUAACGUCCUUAAAACUAGACAGCUACAUAGACAAUUCACACAGUAGUUAGAACACUUUUAUUUUUGCAGUAUAUGUUUGGCUCAUGUAUAUAUAAACACAUGCAAAUGCACAUGUGUGUGCACAUGCAUGUGGAAGCCUGAGGUCAGCACUGGGUGCAGUCUGCAGUCUGUCUUCACCUUAUAUUUUGAGGCAGAGUGUCUCAAUGAACCUACAGCACAUUGACUUGGCUACUAAGAGUCAGGGAUCCAUCUAUCUCUCUCUACCUGCCCUAGCUCCAGAAUCAGUCAUUAACACAUAUCAUUGUGUCUGGCUUUUACGUGGGUGCUAGGGAUCAGAACUCAAGUCAUUUACUGACCCUGCCAUCUCCCCAGGCCCAGAAGUGCACAUCAACUGGGCAGAGUAUCUGCCUGCUAUUCUUAUAGAUAAUAAAGAAAUGACAGAGAGGAAACCAUUAAAAUUUGUGUACCCACAUUACUCUCUCUUCUAGGAUGUAUAGUACUCUGGGAAUCCCACAACACUACAUCCUAGAGUCAUCACAAUGGAUUAAAGUGACUCGAGAAGCCACAUACAGAGAACAUACCCAGAUCGAUCAGGAGUGUGUUAGUCAUGAAGGGGUCUCUCCACCCCUAGAGAAAAACUACAGAAGGACUGUACAUUCUAAAUACAAGUAGAAGGUUCUGAUCCCAUAUGGACAUACAUGCUGUGGGCCACAAUAUCAGGUCUCUUUAAGUUGCUUGGACCUAGAUUCCUGAGGUACUUGGAAGGCAAGUAUGACUGGACUAAUCCCAGAACUAAGACACCAUUUUUCUCCACUCUCUCAUACAGCACAUAGGAUACCUAAUGUCUACGCAAAUUUUCCAGGCUCCGGGGUGAAAGCCCCAUUCCCAACAGGCUGGGUUCUGAGGCAUAAAGUAGUUAAGGAAUCCUAUCUAGGGUAAAGACUGAGGAUGAGGACGAUCAAUUUCAGAGUCCAUAUCCUAACAUUAUGACUUUAGUCAGACAAUAAUGAACAUUCCAGUAGUAAGGAGGCUAACCUUGGGUUCCCUGAAUGCUGACAACCUUGACCCUUAGUAUUUACAGUCUCCUGUCCAAAAAUGGUGUAAUGCAUUCCUCUUCUGUCUUGAUAUCAUUCUUGUUUCCUCUCUCACAUUAUUUUAUCACCAUGAAGAAAUACUAAAUGGAAUGAAAUCUUGAUCUUUACAAUUUUUCCUGCAAUCAUGACUGGAAGUCACUGGUGGACUGGACUAUUCUAUAUCUUGGCAUAUCCCAUGUGUGUGUGACUAGUGUGCCUACCAAGGAGUUUAUAAAACCCAGCAGCUGAAGCUAUCUUGCCCCAGGCCCACCUGCUCUCUCAACUGUCUCACCCCAGGCACUUGCUCAUUCUGAAAUGCAGGACCCAGUCUGUUUCUACCUGAGUUCUCAGGCUGCCCAUUCUGUAAGUCACACCCUUCAUCAUGGCUUCUCUGUCUUUACUCACACUGCCUCAGUUCAAGCUGAAGCACACGCCUUUGCCUUGACAGGUCCCUACCUGGUCUCCUGUUCAUGCAAUGGCUUCCCCUCAUCGUGUCCACCCUCCACCUGCUACCUGAAUGCUGCCCCUGGAACCCAACCACAGACUAGGAGGCAUUCCCAGCCCCCGAUUCUCAGUUUCCUUAUAUGGAAGCAGAGAUAAUACCCAGUCACAUAGAAAAACUUGACUCCCUAAGCUGUGUAAAGUAGGAGCAGAGUGGGUUAGGCUCAUUUGAGGACGAUGUCACUUAACAGGCAGAUCUAGUUAUGGUUUCUUCUGAACCCACUGCAAGUAAAAACCACCUCUUUCAAGCCCACCUCUUUCAAAACUUGACUUGAGGUGAGUGUGUAUGUGUGUGUGUGUGUGUGUGUCUGUCUGUGUAUGUGUGUGUGUGUGUGUGUGUGUGUGUGUGUGUGUGAGAGUGUGUGUGUGUGUGAGUGUGUGUGACGUGUAAAGAAUUACCUGUUGGGAAACAAAGAUUGAAAAUGGGAAGAACAAAGAAACAGCCAUACUAUCCUAACAACUGUUCCCUAGUGAGGUUUGUAACGUCAUGGUCCGGUGGUCUGGAGUUAAGAAUAAGACCUCCCCCCGCCACAGGAGAUAAGCAGUUUUCCAGUGCAGAGCAAAUACCUAUCCAGGACAAAAGCAAGAGCAUGCAUAAACUUGAAUUCUGUCUUCUGGCAAUGUAGCAUAGUAGGACCUUUACAAACAAACUUGCAUCACUUCAUGGAACCCAGAUUAGAAAGAGUGUGACACUUUUUCCCCUUGUAUCCCCAGCUACAUGGACGGCUAACACAGGAAGUUUACAAGUUCAAAACUAGCCUGGACUAUACAGAAAUUUCGGGGCUACCCUAGACAACUUAAGAGAGCCCUUGCUUCAAAUAACUAAAGGACUUGAGGACAAUUCCAGAGUGGGGUGAACCAAGAGCAUCAACGCCAGUUUUAGACAGCCAAGAGCAGAAGAAUCCCUCAGAAAACACAAUGACCUCAUACCUCUCUUCUGAGCCUAAUGAUUCUCAAAAUGUAACUGAUGUAUUUUUACCCUUUGAUGUGCACAUUUGAGACAGAAACUUUAUGGAGUCACUUAAUUCACAAAGUCUUGAGUAUUGUUUGUCAAUACUCUAAAGAACUGUAUAAUGACUCCUUCAUAAGUCAUUCUAUUGGUGCUAAGUGUAUGUGCGGAUCCAUGCUCUGAAAUGACAAGAAAUACACCGGAUGACUUCAAAUAAAAAUAACAGU